rnacentral:RNase_P_RNA from 1 species
UCAGUCGGCUGGACGGCCGUCCCGACCAAGGCCGAAAGGCGGUCGGGGAGGAAAGUCCGGGCUCCAUGGACAUGCGGUGCCGGAUAAGGUCCGGCGGGGGCGACCCCAGGGAUAGUGCCACAGAGAACAGACCGCCGUCGGCAGCGUUGCGUAUCGCCGUCGGCAAGGGUGAAACGGUGCGGCAAGAGCGCACCGCGUUUCCGGCAACGGAAGCGGCACGGUAAACCCCACCGGGAGCAAAACCGAAUAGGGACGGCGUGGGAGCGCAAGCUCCCGGAUCGAUGUCCGGAUCCAGCCGUCCGGGUAGGUCGCUAGAGGCGCCGGGCGACCGGCGUCCCAGAGGAAUGGCCGUCGCGCGGAGGGUUUCGCCCUCCGCCCUACAGAACCCGGCUUACAGGCCGGCUGAUCGU